GCGAGAGUAACUCAGUUGGUAGAGUAUCACGUUGCCAACGUGAAUGUCGCGGGUUCAAAUCCCGUCUCUCGCU
rnacentral:tRNA from 1 species